CAGAAGAUUCUUGGAAGAAUUUUCGAUACGAAAUCAGAAUAUAUCCACAUAAGGAUUCUGAACAUAAACGAGAAAUCCAAGGUUUGUUCAAGGAUAAGAAAAUCUAGUGGGGGAUAAACUCCAUUAACCAUCAAAAUUUCCCACUCUCAACCUGGUACACGAAAUCAGAUCAAAUGACCAAUAGAUUGAAGAGACACCAAAAAACGACAAAAAACCAAUACCUUCAGAAGAUUCUUGGAAUAAUUUUCGAUACGAAAUCAGAAUAUAUCCACAUAAGGAUUCUGAAAAUAAACGAGAAAUCCAAAGUUUGUUCAAAGAUAAGAAAAUCUAAAGGGGGAUAAACUCCAUAAACCAUCAAAAUUUCCCACUCUCAACCCGGUACACGAAAUCAGUUCAAAUCACCAAUAGAUUGAAGAGACACCAAAACACGAAGAGCAACAUCUGCGGCAAAGCAAGACAGAAAUAGCAGAAUAUCAAAAGCCCAAUCCUUCAGAAGAAUCUUGG
rnacentral:lncRNA from 1 species